rnacentral:rRNA from 1 species
AUACGGAGGGUGCAAGCGUUACUCGGAAUCACAGGGCGUAAAGCGCGCGCCGGCGGCUUGAUAAGUUGGAUGUGAAAGCCUACGGCUCAACCGUAGAACUGCAUCCAAAACUGUCAAGCUAGAGUCUGGGAGGGGAAGAUGGAAUUAGUUGUGUAGGGGUAAAAUCCGUAGAGAUAACUAGGAAUACCAAAAGCGAAGGCGAUCUUCUGGAACAGUACUGACGCUGAGGCGCGAAAGCGUGGGGAGCAAACAGGAUUAGAAACCCGGGUAGUCC